GAAGAACUGAAACAGGAUUUGAAAAUUAAAGUUGCAAAAAUCAGAGAGAAUUAUAUAUGUAUUGAAACUAUUCGUCUCAUCCUUUCAAAAUAAAUCCAUCAUCCCAUGUUCACUCUCUCUGCAUAUAUAUAUGGAAAAUGAUAUUUUUGACGAUAAUUUUUAACCCGACUUAUAACCGACCUACGUGGAAAACUUAUGUGGCCAGACGCCUAUUCUCCCAUCCUCUUUCUCAUUGUCCUCUCCCAUCUCUAAUUUUAUCACAAAAUUUGCCCUAACCUGGGUCACAAACCCCCUUUAUCUUCCUCGUCAUUCUCUCCAUUUUUCUUCUUCAUUCAUUUUUUCCCACUCUAUUCCCAAGUUUAUCGCAGAAUUUUGGAGUUCUCUUCCCUUCGAGACCCUGGCAUCAUUCUCAAGUUCCUCCAAUUCGUCGCCGGGUCACCGUCAAUCCUGACCUCUAAGUGUGGUAUCAGUUCUCUUUCAACAUUCAUUAAAAGAGCCAGAGGAUCAAAGAGUGCAACAUUGGAUCAUAUAGACCAAUGAAAAUAAUUAGCCAUUCAACUGAUGUUGACAGUGCACUAGCUUUUAGAGUUUUGGAAGGAUGUUGUCUGCUCCACAGAGAGAGCACCAUUUUUGGCCCAUAUUUACAAGGCGAUUCAGGAAUGGCAUAUUUGUGUUAGUUACGGAGCUAUGGCUGGGUACUUGGUUUCAAUGGCAUCUUUUGGAUUUGUAGUCUUGUAAGGUGGGAGGAUCGUGUUAAUGAAGACUAAUCAGCAAGGAGAAGUCAUCAAAUUGGAGGAAUUGUGAACUCUACACUAAUUGUUGGCCUAUAGGAGCAUGAAUUUGGCCAUGUUUAGCUUCAAUUUUUUUUUCCAUGUCCUUGUUUUAAAGCUGUAAAUUUUACUUAGAUUGGUUUUAUGUGACAAAACGUUUAUGGUGAAUGGAAAGAUUCAUUGGAUAUA